rnacentral:rRNA from 1 species
UACAGGGGGGGCAAGCGUUGUUCGGAAUUACUGGGCGUAAAGGGUCUGUAGGUGGCUUGCUAAGUCAGACGUGAAAUCCCUCAGCUUAACUGGGGAACUGCGUCUGAUACUGGCAAGCUUGAGUGCAGGAGAGGAACGCGGAAUUCCUGGUGUAGCGGUGAAAUGCGUAGAUAUCAGGAGGAACACCUGUGGUGUAGACGGCUCUCUGGACAGUAACUGACGCUGAGACACGAAAGCGUGGGUAGCAAACAGG